AUUGAACGCUGGCGGCAUGCCUUACACAUGCAAGUCGAACGGCAACAGGUCUUCGGAUGCUGACGAGUGGCGAACGGGUGAGUAAUACAUCGGAACGUGCCUAGUAGUGGGGGAUAACUACUCGAAAGAGUGGCUAAUACCGCAUGAGAUCUACGGAUGAAAGCAGGGGAUCGCAAGACCUUGUGCUACUAGAGCGGCCGAUGGCAGAUUAGGUAGUUGGUAGGAUGAAAGCUUACCAAGCCGACGAUCUGUAGCUGGUCUGAGAGGACGAUCAGCCAAACUGGGACUGAGACACGGCCCAGGCUCCUACGGGAGGCAGCAGUGGGAAAUUUUGGACAAUGGGCGCAAGCCUGAUCCAGCAAUGCCGCGUGCAGGAUGAAGGCUUUCGGGUUGUAAACUGCUUUUGUACGGAACGAAAAGCCCUGGGUUAAUACCCUGGGGUCAUGACGGUACCGUAAGAAUAAGCACCGGCUAACUACGUGCCAGCCGCCGCCGUAACAC
rnacentral:rRNA from 1 species